rnacentral:rRNA from 1 species
GGUUAAGCGACUAAGCGUACACGGUGGAUGCCCUGGCAGUCAGAGGCGAUGAAGGACGUGCUAAUCUGCGAUAAGCGUCGGUAAGGUGAUAUGAACCGUUAUAACCGGCGAUUUCCGAAUGGGGAAACCCAGUGUGUUUCGACACACUAUCAUUAACUGAAUCCAUAGGUUAAUGAGGCGAACCGGGGGAACUGAAACAUCUAAGUACCCCGAGGAAAAGAAAUCAACCGAGAUUCCCCCAGUAGCGGCGAGCGAACGGGGAGCAGCCCAGAGCCUGAAUCAGUGUGUGUGUUAGUGGAAGCGUCUGGAAAGGCGCGCGAUACAGGGUGACAGCCCCGUACACAAAAAUGCACAUUCUGUGAGCUCGAUGAGUAGGGCGGGACACGUGGUAUCCUGUCUGAAUAUGGGGGGACCAUCCUCCAAGGCUAAAUACUCCUGACUGACCGAUAGUGAACCAGUACCGUGAGGGAAAGGCGAAAAGAACCCCGGCGAGGGGAGUGAAAAAGAACCUGAAACCGUGUACGUACAAGCAGUGGGAGCACAGAGCAAUCUGUGUGACUGCGUACCUUUUGUAUAAUGGGUCAGCGACUUAUAUUCUGUAGCAAGGUUAACCGAAUAGGGGAGCCGAAGGGAAACCGAGUCUUAACUGGGCGUUAAGUUGCAGGGUAUAGACCCGAAACCCGGUGAUCUAGCCAUGGGCAGGUUGAAGGUUGGGUAACACUAACUGGAGGACCGAACCGACUAAUGUUGAAAAAUUAGCGGAUGACUUGUGGCUGGGGGUGAAAGGCCAAUCAAACCGGGAGAUAGCUGGUUCUCCCCGAAAGCUAUUUAGGUAGCGCCUCGUGAAUUCAUCUCCGGGGGUAGAGCACUGUUUCGGCAAGGGGGUCAUCCCGACUUACCAACCCGAUGCAAACUGCGAAUACCGGAGAAUGUUAUCACGGGAGACACACGGCGGGUGCUAACGUCCGUCGUGAAGAGGGAAACAACCCAGACCGCCAGCUAAGGUCCCAAAGUCAUGGUUAAGUGGGAAACGAUGUGGGAAGGCCCAGACAGCCAGGAUGUUGGCUUAGAAGCAGCCAUCAUUUAAAGAAAGCGUAAUAGCUCACUGGUCGAGUCGGCCUGCGCGGAAGAUGUAACGGGGCUAAACCAUGCACCGAAGCUGCGGCAGCGACGCUUAUGCGUUGUUGGGUAGGGGAGCGUUCUGUAAGCCUGUGAAGGUGUGCUGUGAGGCAUGCUGGAGGUAUCAGAAGUGCGAAUGCUGACAUAAGUAACGAUAAAGCGGGUGAAAAGCCCGCUCGCCGGAAGACCAAGGGUUCCUGUCCAACGUUAAUCGGGGCAGGGUGAGUCGACCCCUAAGGCGAGGCCGAAAGGCGUAGUCGAUGGGAAACAGGUUAAUAUUCCUGUACUUGGUGUUACUGCGAAGGGGGGACGGAGAAGGCUAUGUUGGCCGGGCGACGGUUG